AAACAAAUCUGCCAGUCACCAGGGCUUCUGCUUCAUCUUAGGGCUACACCUCUGUCAUUUUAGACACCCUGGACAGAUCUACAUAACCUAAUCUCCACACAUCUCAACCCACUGUGCCCUGUAUCCUACUGACCAGACAAGAAAGGCAAACAACCAUUUCUAUGCAGAGAGACAGUACAGCCUUGGUGAAUGUGGGGGACUGUGAGCAGAGCCUCCAGAGUCCCAGGCUGGGAAAGGGACCACCUUUGGAGUAGCUGAACUCUACCUGGGAGUUGCAGUGUCUCUCAAGACCCUAUAUGCAUUGGAGUCUGCCUCCAGGAAACAGUAUUUUUGGUGAAACAGGUUCCUGAACAACAGAAAUUGUUUCUCCCUGUUUCAAGUACAAGAGAAACUGCACAAAUAAUUGAAAAUAGAAGUGACUGGUCACAGAAAGAAACAGAUAGAAAAAGCAGGCAAACACAACCCUGACGAAAUCAGCAGCUUUCUCAGACCAUCAGGAUACUCCAGUGGAGGAUUACAGUCCUCUCCGGCCUUCACCUGUGACAUGCUCUCCCCAAGGUGUCUUCUCUCAUCUUAAAUGAUGACUGGCUCUUUUCCAAACCAAAGCACAGAAGACUGAAUUUUCUACUAUUUUCAGCACUUUCUUUAUGCACAACAGAUGCUCUUAUGCAUUACCCCAAGGAAUAGUAUGAGCUCUGUUACACUGUGAAGAUGAAGAAAUUUCGGCAUCUCCAAAAGUAAAGUUAAAUCAUACACUCUGUCUACCAUAAAUGUCCCACUUGUAGACUUCUGAUAUUAAAAAUAUUAACAAAAACUUCAGAUGUUUUGUAUUACCUCUCCAGCAAUGACAGAAUAAGUACUGGAUUAAGUUUUGUUAGCUCAGAAAGUGGUUAAAAUUCUCUACUCCUUGAAUUCCCUGCCAGCCAGAAGGAGCACUGAACAGCUGAUGGAUGACCUUUCACUUACCUCACUGGCAGGCAAGAUUAGCUCCAAACCCAAUACAACACAACGGCCUGACCACGCAUACACAAAGGUGAGCUUUAUGGAAGAAACUUUUGUAAAUACUAACAGGUAAGUGAAAAGAGGAUUUUUAGCCCCUGAAGAAUGUCUAGGAAUCUGGGAGACCUUGAGGACAACAAUACAAAGGUAUAGAAUGUAGAAGGUUCCAUCUUGCUGCAUGUCUUCA